GGUGACAUUUGCUUGGUGGUGUCUG
rnacentral:piRNA from 1 species